UGGCCUGUUACUGGGCUUUGGUGGAAACUGAA
rnacentral:piRNA from 1 species